rnacentral:rRNA from 1 species
AUUGAACGCUGGCGGCAGACCUAACACAUGCAAGUCGAGCGGAUGAAGGGAGCUUGCUCCUGGAUUCAGCGGCGGACGGGUGAGUAAUGCCUAGGAAUCUGCCUGGUAGUGGGGGAUAACGUCCGGAAACGGGCGCUAAUACCGCAUACGUCCUGAGGGAGAAAGUGGGGGAUCUUCGGACCUCACGCUAUCAGAUGAGCCUAGGUCGGAUUAGCUAGUUGGUGGGGUAAAGGCCUACCAAGGCGACGAUCCGUAACUGGUCUGAGAGGAUGAUCAGUCACACUGGAACUGAGACACGGUCCAGACUCCUACGGGAGGCAGCAGUGGGGAAUAUUGGACAAUAGGCGAAAGCCUGAUCCAGCCAUGCCGCGUGUGUGAAGAAGGUCUUCGGAUUGUAAAGCACUUUAAGUUGGGAGGAAGGGCAGUAAGUUAAUACCUUGCUGUUUUGACGUUACCAACAGAAUAAGCACCGGCUAACUUCGUG